GUGUGUUAGCGAUUGAUGUGGCAUCCUUUUUACGUCAGUUCGAGUAAUACGACGUUAGGAGUAUUGUAUCGAGAACAAGUAAAAAGAUAUAACGGAAAGCGCGACCCUUG
rnacentral:sRNA from 1 species